GCUAAUCCUGGUCGGACAUCAGGAGGUUAGUGCAAUGGCAUAAGCUAGCUUGACUGCGAGCGUGACGGCGCGAGCAGGUGCGAAAGCAGGUCAUAGUGAUCCGGUGGUUCUGAAUGGAAGGGCCAUCGCUCAACGGAUAAAAGGUACUCCGGGGAUAACAGGCUGAUACCGCCCAAGAGUUCAUAUCGACGGCGGUGUUUGGCACCUCGAUGUCGGCUCAUCACAUCCUGGGGCUGAAGUAGGUCCCAAGGGUAUGGCUGUUCGCCAUUUAAAGUGGUACGCGAGCUGGGUUUAGAACGUCGUGAGACAGUUCGGUCCCUAUCUGCCGUGGGCGCUGGAGAAUUGAGGGGGGCUGCUCCUAGUACGAGAGGACCGGAGUGGACGCAUCACUGGUGUUCGGGUUGUCAUGCCAAUGGCAUUGCCCGGUAGCUAAAUGCGGAAGAGAUAAGUGCUGAAAGCAUCUAAGCACGAAACUUGCCCCGAGAUGAGUUCUCCCUGAGACUAUAAGUCUCCUGAAGGAACGUUAAAGACGAUGACGUUGAUAGGUCGGGUGUGUAAGCGUAGCGAUACGUUGAGCUAACCGAUACUAAUGAACCGUGAGGCUUAACCUU
rnacentral:rRNA from 1 species